AUCCAGCUGACGAGUCUCAAAUGGGACGAAACGCGCGUCUUGAUGGAU
rfam:Schistosoma mansoni, Puerto Rico, WGS project CABG01000000 data, contig: 0142